ensembl:antisense Gm31728 predicted gene, 31728
CAGGAAAACACUGGGUGCAGAAGGUGCAGGCCUUCGCUGUGUCUUGCCCUGGAGACCGCAGCAUCAUAUUGACAUUGAAAUCUGAAGUUGGCUAGUGCCUUUUCUUAGGGGCCUGGCAGCGCCACUGGGACAAGGGUUCCUUACCCUUCCUGGGCCUCGGUUUCCUCAUCUGUGAGAGGAUAGUGUGAGGGCCUUCAGAGGAACAUGGCACAUUACAGAGAAAUGAGGGGGCAGGGGGCAGCGCGGAUCCUGAACAGACAGAGCCUGGGCCAAGCCGAGGGAAGAUCAGCUGAUGUGAGCCAGGCCUCCACACACAUCACUUCCAGGAUCUCCUGUGAGGCCCGGAGUACUGCCAAGGUGAUGACGGAUGUGCCUCCUCCUGGGUCAGCUUCAGGUGAAGUCAUCCGUUCCCUCUGCACUCCAUCAGGACCUGUU